GGUCUAAUCUGCCCACUGAUAUUAAUUGAAGGGCCGCGGUAUUUUAACCGUGCAAAGGUAGCAUAAUCAUUAGUUUUUUAAUUGAAGGCUUGUAUGAAUGAUUGGACGAGAUAUUAGCUGUUUCAUAUAAAAUUUAAUAGAAUUUUAUUUUUUAGUUAAAAAGCUAAAAUAAUUAUAAAAGACGAGAAGACCCUAUAGAUCUUAAUAAUUUAUAUAUUUUAUUUAUAUAGAAAUUUUUAAAUAUUAUAUUUAUAAUUAUUUUGUUGGGGUGACAAUAAAAUUUAAUAAACUUUUAUAUAAAUUUUACAUUAAUUAAUGAAUAAUUGAUCCAUUAUUAGUGAUUAAUAAAUUAAGUUACCUUAGGGAUAACAGCGUAAUUUUUUUAGAGAGUUCAUAUCGAUAAAAGAGAUUGCGACCUCGAUGUUGGAUUAAGAGAUAAAGUUGGGUGUAGAAGUUCAAAUAUUUAGGUCUGUUCGACCUUUAAUUUCUUACGUGAUCUGAGUCC
rnacentral:rRNA from 1 species